CGCGUGUACGGGGAAUGCGUACUUGCGCACCAUGCAGUUAUGUGAUCCUUAUCAUAUGUAUAGUAUAUUGUACAAUAAAUGAUAUGACAUUUAAGUUGUGUUGUUGGAUCUUUUUUAAUCAUAAUUUUCUUCGUUCAUUCCUGCCGACAGUUGGGACAGAGACUGAAAUAUGCUCUGGGUAACACGUACAGCCAGACGCGGCCUAACAGUAAAACAUUUAGAAAUGUGACAAAAGGUCUUCUGUUUGUCCAUUUAUUCCUACAUAGAGUUUUAAUCCCGUUUACAUGAAAAGCUGUACUUAUUGUGUCCUUGACUAUUCCAAAUUUCUUUUUGCAGCAAACUGACAAACCGAAUAAGCCCAGGACACUGGAAAAUACUUGAAAAACAUGGUAAAGUGGAUUUCAGCAUUUUCUGUCGUCACAUUUGUAUUAGAAUUUUAACAAAUGUCUUCGUUAGUACUAUAUUGUAUUUCGCAGGAUGUUCCUCAACAGAUUGGUUCUGUGGACUGUGGUGCGUUCAUGUUGAUUGUUGUCACGUCACGGAUCGGGGAAGCAGGAGCAGGAAGACGGAGAAUCGGGAAACAAAGGAUUUAUUGGGGAAACCAGCUAGGAACACGGAACAAUAGAAGUAGCGACUUAAAUGACAUGAUUGGGGAAACAUAUUUUGAAGCGGAGUUAAAUACAUAGGACUAAUGAAAACAACUGGAAACAGCGAAUGACAUCGGGAUUCCACACGAGGUUAACGAGGGGGCGUGGCACACGGGAGCAGUGGACGAGCGCCCAAGACAACUUGAGUUGGAGGGAUUUGACAAAAACAUCCUUUUAGAAAUGCGUGAGGAAGGUCAAGACUCUGGUCUCCAGCUCACCGCUCUCUGUUACAUUUCCAUGGCCAUUUUGUCCAAUAGUAUUAUUGGAUUUUUCUAUGCUAUAUAUAUUUUUUAUGUUUAGUUAUUCUGUGCUCUAUAAUUAUAAAUAAUAGUUUAUUUUCCUUGUGAUGUGU